rnacentral:rRNA from 1 species
AUUGAACGCUGGCGGCAUGCUUUACACAUGCAAGUCGAACGGUAACAGGCCGCAAGGUGCUGACGAGUGGCGAACGGGUGAGUAAUGCAUCGGAACGUGCCCAGUCGUGGGGGAUAACGCAGCGAAAGCUGCGCUAAUACCGCAUACGAUCUAUGGAUGAAAGCGGGGGACCGUAAGGCCUUGCGCGAUUGGAGCGGCCGAUGUCAGAUUAGGUAGUUGGUGGGGUAAAGGCUCACCAAGCCAACGAUCUGUAGCCGGUCUGAGAGGACGACCAGCCACACUGGGACUGAGACACGGCCCAGACUCCUACGGGAGGCAGCAGUGGGGAAUUUUGGACAAUGGGCGCAAGCCUGAUCCAGCAAUGCCGCGUGCAGGAAGAAGGCCUUCGGGUUGUAAACUGCUUUUGUACGGAACGAAACGGUCCUGGUUAAUACCCGGGGCUAAUGACGGUACCGUAAGAAUAAGCACCGGCUAACUACGUGCCAGCCGCCGCAGUAAUAC